rnacentral:rRNA from 1 species
UACGUAGGGUGCGAGCGUUGUCCGGAAUUAUUGGGCGUAAAGGGCUCGUAGGCGGUUUGUCGCGUCGGGAGUGAAAUCCACUGGCUUAACUGGUGGCUUGCCUUCGAUACGGGCAGACUGGAGGUAUGCAGGGGAGAACGGAAUUCCUGGUGUAGCGGUGAAAUGCGCAGAUAUCAGGAGGAACACCGGUGGCGAAGGCGGGUCUCUGGGCCGAUACUGACGCUGAGGAGCGAAAGCGUGGGGAGCGAACAGG